UGGGGAAUAUUGGACGAUGGGCGCAAGCCUGAUCCAGCCAUGCCGCGUGAGUGAUGAAGGCCUUAGGGCUGUAAAGCUCUUUUACCAGGGAUGAUAAUGACAGUACCUGGAGAAUAAGCUCCGGCUAACUCCGUGCCAGCAGCCGCGGUAAUACGGAGGGAGCUAGCGUUGUUCGGAAUCACUGGGCGUAAAGCGCGCGUAGGCGGCUACUUAAGUCAGAGGUGAAAGCCCGGGGCUCAACCCCGGAACUGCCUUUGAAACUAGGUAGCUAGAAUUCUGGAGAGGUGAGUGGAAUUCCGAGUGUAGAGGUGAAAUUCGUAGAUAUUCGGAAGAACACCAGUGGCGAAGGCGACUCACUGGACAGAUAUUGACGCUGAGGUGCGAAAGCGUGGGGAGCAAACAGGAUUAGAUACCCCUGUAGUCC
rnacentral:rRNA from 1 species